UGUCACUUAUAGAUGGAUCCGCGCUGCAUUAGCUAGUUGGUAAGGUAACGGCUUACCAAGGCAACGAUGCAUAGCCGACCUGAGAGGGUGAUCGGCCACACUGGAACUGAGACACGGUCCAGACUCCUACGGGAGGCAGCAGUAGGGAAUCUUCCGCAAUGGGCGAAAGCCUGACGGAGCAACGCCGCGUGAGUGAUGAAGGUCUUCGGAUCGUAAAACUCUGUUAUUAGGGAAGAACAUAUGUGUAAGUAACUGUGCACAUCUUGACGGUACCUAAUCAGAAAGCCACGGCUAACUACGUGCCAGCAGCCGCGGUAAUACGUAGGUGGCAAGCGUUAUCCGGAAUUAUUGGGCGUAAAGCGCGCGUAGGCGGUUUUUUAAGUCUGAUGUGAAAGCCCACGGCUCAACCGUGGAGGGUCAUUGGAAACUGGAAAACUUGAGUGCAGAAGAGGAAAGUGGAAUUCCAUGUGUAGCGGUGAAAUGCGCAGAGAUAUGGAGGAACACCAGUGGCGAAGGCGACUUUCUGGUCUGUAACUGACGCUGAUGUGCGAAAGCGUGGGGAUCAAACAGGAUUAGAUACCCUGGUAGUCCACGCCGUAAACGAUGAGUGCUAAGUGUUAGGGGGUUUCCGCCCCUUAGUGCUGCAGCUAACGCAUUAAGCACUCCGCCUGGGGAGUACGACCGCAAGGUUGAAACUCAAAGGAAUUGACGGGGACCCGCACAAGCGGUGGAGCAUGUGGUUUAAUUCGAAGCAACGCGAAGAACCUUACCAAAUCUUGACAUCCUUUGACAACUCUAGAGAUAGAGCCUUCCCCUUCGGGGGACAAAGUGACAGGUGGUGCAUGGUUGUCGUCAGCUCGUGUCGUGAGAUGUUGGGUUAAGUCCCGCAACGAGCGCAACCCUUAAGCUUAGUUGCCAUCAUUAAGUUGGGCACUCUAAGUUGACUGCCGGUGACAAACCGGAGGAAGGUGGGGAUGACGUCAAAUCAUCAUGCCCCUUAUGAUUUGGGCUACACACGUGCUACAAUGGACAAUACAAAGGGCAGCGAAACCGCGAGGUCAAGCAAAUCCCAUAAAGUUGUUCUCAGUUCGGAUUGUAGUCUGCAACUCGACUACAUGAAGCUGGAAUCGCUAGUAAUCGUAGAUCAGCAUGCUACGGUGAAUACGUUCCCGGGUCUUGUACACACCGCCCGUCACACCACGAGAGUUUGUAACACCCGAAGCCGGUGGAGUAACCUUUUAGGAGCUAGCCGUCGAAGGUGGGACAAAUGAUUGGGGUGAAGUCGUAACAAGGUAGCCGUAUCGGAAGGUGCGGCUG
rnacentral:rRNA from 1 species